GACGAACGCUGGCGGCGUGCCUAAUACAUGCAAGUCGAACGCUGAAGGAGGAGCUUGCUUCUCUGGAUGAGUUGCGAACGGGUGAGUAACGCGUAGGUAACCUGCCUGGUAGCGGGGGAUAACUAUUGGAAACGAUAGCUAAUACCGCAUAGUAGCAGUUGUUGCAUGACAACUGUUUGAAAGGUGCAAUUGCACCACUACCAGAUGGACCUGCGUUGUAUUAGCUAGUUGGUGGGGUAACGGCUCACCAAGGCGACGAUACAGAGCCGACCUGGGAGGGGGAUCGGCCAGACUGGGAGGGAGACACGGCCCAGACUCCUACGGGAGGCAGCAGUAGGGAAUCGUCGGCAAGAGACGGAAGUCUGACCGAGCAACGCCGCGGGAGUGAAGAAGGUUGUCGGAUCGUAAAGCUCUGUUGUAAGGGAAGAACGAGUGUGAGAGUGGAAAGUUCACACUGUGACGGUAUCUUACCAGAAAGGGACGGCUAACUACGUG
rnacentral:rRNA from 1 species